UUCAGGCAUCGAAUAUCAGUUGUAGGUUUGUUACGUAAUUACAUAUACAUGCGAAUACCCCCACCACGGAGACUUCUCACGGCCCUGCGUAAAGCAUGUAAAAAGCCGGAGAUCCCGUGUCUGCUUUUAGGUUACUAAUAAAAGAUCGCUUAAUUUUAAUUGAGGUUUCAUUAUCACCGUCAUUCGAAGAAUAAUUAAUCACAGAACAAUAUUACUUAUUGUGAAAAAAUGAUUUCAACGCGAGGAUUAAUAAAAAUAUGUGCGUAUGGAUCAUUUGCUAUGGUUGGGGUUGUGUUGGUACUUCAUGAGGAGAUUCAGACACGUAUUCGCAAAUCCGUAUGUUAUACCGAUGCUUUUAAAUAUCUUCAUGAUGAUACAGGAGCUAUGGAUUAUUUUGGGCAACCCAUAAAAGCUGGCUAUGCCAAAAGCUUUACUGAACCUGAUGAUCAGUCCGACUCAGUCCUUUGGUAUAAAGUUCCGCUGAAAGGACCGAAAGGCAAUGGAACAUUGCUUUACAAAGCUAUUAAGGACCAGAAAUGGUUGUUGUCUAAGGUAGAAGUUGAGUUGGAAAAAAUUCCGGGGAAAAGAUAUCUGAUAAUAGACAAUGUCGAAACUAUUGUAGAAUCUAGCGAAUAAUGUGUCAUUUAUACAGUAAGUUAUUUAGAGCGAAAUUUUUUAAAUAAAACAAUAAAACUGUUUUGCAAGAUUCGUUUUUCUUGGAAAUUUGCGUGGCCUGUGUUUUUUUUAUAAGAUUUCUUAUGCGCUGCUUAUCCGUAUUUGUCAGGUAAAUAAAUCGUGAUGACUUUGUUGAGGAAUAGUUUUCAUGUUUCCCAAUUUGUGAAUCUUUUUUUUUCUUAAUAUCACAUUGUGGAAU